rnacentral:lncRNA from 1 species
GAGAUCAUGCUUCAUAAAACACCUGGUUCUUUGUGUAUCUGUCACACAAGGGAUAACCAAUAUGACUAUUUGGUUACAUUUGGCUUUUGUUGCUUAGUUUAUUCUUACAUAGAUGGGCAGCUGGAUGUUAGGGAAAAACAGGGACAGGAAAGAGACUCCAUCCAGUGGCUCUCUGAAGAUUCACCCUUGUUAUCAGUCACUUGGGAUUCUGUUAUCAGAAUUUGGGAUUGCUUGUUAUCACAGCAUUACCUAGUCUACCCUGACUAAUACAAGGGCACUUUGAGAAUCUGAUGGAAGCUCAGGCCACAAGAAAACUGCACAUUCAUGCAAAAUUCAGAACCUUUCAAUUUUAAUGUCUUGAGAUUUCGUUGUGUUUCUAAGAUCCUUGAUGUCCCACAGCCUCCUCUUCUCAGCCUUGGAAUCUGAGGCACCUGGGUUGUAAGUGAUGCUAUGUCAGUGUUCACAAAGGCUCACAAGUCUGCGAAGUGGCCAAGAUGAGCUGACCCUGUCACCAUGGAGCAAGGCCUAUGUGUGCAAAUGAGUCAUGAGCUGAGAGGAAAGAGCUUGAGCCUGAGCUUUUUUUUUUCUUUUCUUUUCUUUUCUUUUUAUGAUGAUUGCUUGAGCCUGAGCUUGUUUGCCAGAUGCUUUCACUAGCCCAAGCUUGUUUUGUGGAUGCUUUCUGCUGCCAGCUACUUUGUAGUCCCUCCUGUGUGACAGCAUCUUGCCAUCAACGGGCUGCAGAAGAAGGGGUGCUUGUUGCUAUUGUGAGCAAACACUGCAUAAACAAUCAGCUCACAUGUGUGUCCCAGAGCGUAUGACCAAUGACCUGGAGAACUCUCAGGCUGUGGGGUGGAGAGAAGGCCAUUCUGAGGUCAACUGAAACCUCACUUGAGGGGCAGUUCCGUAGAUGGGAAUGAGGAGAGAGUCAUGGCCACAGCCACCUGGCCAAGGAGAGAGGCCAUAACUGCCAGACAGAACCAAGGAUGGAGGGACUUCAGCAGCACGAACAAUCCACACUCAGCAUGGGUCACUCUCUGGGACACACAUUUCCCUCUGGCUGAAAGGCUGAGCUGCUCCAGGGCCAACUGUGAGGUCAGACAGCUGCCCAGGGAUGUCUCCAGCCACUCAAGGGAAGAAGAGACCACUCACCUGUAAUUUCAACAGCAACAAAAGACCUGAGGUUCCACCAUCAGAACUUCACGCCCUAAGGAAGAUGCAGCAUUUCCUGUAAAAUGCAAGUGCUCCCAGGCAGAGAAACCCUGGGCCCCUUCCCCAGCUGUCAUGAAGGUGCCUGAGUGAUGGUCAGAGAGAUGACCGGAGGGGCCCACCCGGCCACCGCAGCAGCAGCAGCCAAGGCGGGACUAAGCCUCCACACCCCACAUCUCAGUCGUGGCCAGCCCGGGAUGCCUGCCUCUCCUGCCCUGUGGUGUUGCUGUCCUCAUAUGACCCUUCAGUCCCCCGACAUCUGGACAGGCUUUAGGGACCUGCUUGAGCAGAACAUGGUAGAAGUGAUGGACUGGGGCUUCUGAGGCUAAGCCAUAAGAAGCCUUGAGAAUUUCACCUGGCCCUCACUGUCUCUGGGAGCCCUGAGCCAUGAUAGAAGAAGUCCUUCCUAUAUUGAAUGUCCUUGAGACCUCCAGUACUGGAAAGGGCAUUUGUAGAUGCUCAGACCAACAGUCCAAACUGAGCCCAGUCUGCCAACUUGCCCUGCCAAGGUGUCAGAUGCAUAUGUGAAUGAGACCAUCCUAGACCUGCUGAUAGCCCAUCACCCGGCUGACUGCUACUGAGUAACCUCUGCCAACUUCACGCCGAACACAGAACUGCUGAUUUGAACUCUGCCUGAAUUUCUUGGCCCACAGAACAAUGAGAUAUAAUUAAAAGGCAAUGGUUCAAGCCA